rnacentral:rRNA from 1 species
CAGUAGCCACGGGAAUACGGAGGGAGCUAGCGUUGUUCGGAAUUACUGGGCGUAAAGCGCGCGUAGGCGGUUACUCAAGUCAGAGGUGAAAGCCCGGGGCUCAACCCCGGAACUGCCUUUGAAACUAGGUGACUAGAAUCUUGGAGAGGUCAGUGGAAUUCCGAGUGUAGAGGUGAAAUUCGUAGAUAUUCGGAAGAACACCAGUGGCGAAGGCGACUGACUGGACAAGUAUUGACGCUGAGGUGCGAAAGCGUGGGGAGCAAACAGUAUUAGAUACCCGAGUAGUCCCUGUCUCUUAUAC